UGCAGGUUUAACACUUCCAUUAUUUCAGCGCUUUUAGGAUUGGUUUUGGGGUGGAUUUGGGACUGUGUCCAGGUUUAACACUUCCAUUAUUUCAACACUCUCAGGGCACUUUUGGGGUGGUUUUGGGGAGGAUUUUUGGGGUCUCUGCAGGUUUAACACUUCCAUUAUUUCAGCGGUUUUGGGGUGGAUUUUUGGGGUCUCUCCAGGUUUAACACUUCCAUUAUUUCAGCACUCUCAGGGCACUUUUGGGGUGGUUUUGGGGAGGAUUUUUGGGGUCUCUGCAGGUUUAACACUUCCAUUAUUUCAGCACUUUUAGGAUUGGUUUUGGGGAGGAUUUGGGGUCUCUGCAGGUUUAACACUUCCAUUAUUUCAGCACUCUCAGGGCUGGAUUUGGGGUGGGUUUUGGGAUGGAUUUUUGGGGUCUCUACAGGUCUAACGCCUCCGUUAUUUCAGCACUCUCAGGGCACUUUUAGGGUGGGUUUUGGGGUGGAUUUCUGGGGUCUCUGCAGGUUUAACACUUCCAUUAUUUCAGCACUUUUAGGGUGGGUUUUGGGGAGGAUUUUUGGGGUCUCUCCAGGUUUAACACUUCCAUUAUUUCAGCCCUUUUAGGGUGGGUUUUGGGGAGGAUUUUUGGGGUCUCUCCAGGUUUAACGCUUCCAUUAUUUCAGCACUCUCAGGGCAGUUUUGGGGUGGUUUUGGGGUGGAUUUUUGGGGUCUCUCCAGGUUUAACACUUCCAUUAUUUCAGCACUAUUAGGAUUGGUUUUGGGGUGGAUUUGGGGUGGAUUUGGGACUGU